rnacentral:rRNA from 1 species
GACGAACGCUGGCGGCGUGCCUAACACAUGCAAGUCGAACGAACCGACCAUGAUUUUGCUUGUCUGAUUGUAGCAGCGGAGGGGAGAUUCACUUGUGUACAAUAUACCUAUAAGACAGGUAUAAUAACGGCAAAGCGGCGCUUAUCGCGGAUAAUCUCUUGCACCACAUGGUGCAAUGGUCAAAUUCGGUGUUUCUGUCAGGUAUAGAUGCAUCCGCGCUGCAUUAGGUAGUUGGUAAGGUAACGGCUUACGACGGCGACGAUGCAUAACCGAGCUGAGAGAGUGGUCGGCCACACUGGAAGUGAGACACGGACCAGACUCCUGCGGUAAGCCGCAGUAGGCAAUCGUACGCAAUGGGGGAGAGCCUGACGGAGCGACGCGGCGUGAGUGAUGACGGUGCCCUGAUCGGAAAACUCUGUUAUUAGGGGAAAACAUAUGUUUUAGUAACUGUGCAGAUAUUGACGGUACCUAGUCAAGAAGCCCCGGCUAACUACGUG